rnacentral:lncRNA from 1 species
GAAGCAAGCAGCAUUCACUUUUAGUUCAACUCUAUCUGCUUUUUGAGACAGUGUAAUUCAUGUCUCUUUCAGAGCUGACGCUCACUGCUGCUCUUUGUGUUCUCCCUACCCUGGUGAAAGAGAGAGUUGAUUCAUUGACCUGCCAUUCUGACCCUGCCAAGGUACAUUAUGUACCGACGGUGACGUUUGUUGGGAGCCUGUUGACUGCGCAAGAAUUCACCGUGCAUCUGGAGGGCAUUUCCAUUCAAGAAAAUACCCUGUUGGAAGCCAUUGCGACCCAAAUGGCCCUGUACUGGGUGCUAAACAUUGCUUUCCAGAAGAAAGCGCAAAGAACUUUUCAUCUUUUAUGUGAAUUACUGGGAGUUCCAAGUGGUCUACGGGCUACACCACUCGUCCGUGUCGCUCACACACUUUUGAGCCAGUGAGCCUCUCAUGCCAAUGAGAGGCUCUCUUUAUAAGUGGUCAUAGUCAUACUAGUCAUAAUGCUAGUCAAUAAAGUAUUUUGGCACUUUUA